rnacentral:rRNA from 1 species
CGGAGGGCGCGAGCGUUGUCCGGAAUCGCUGGGCGUAAAGCGCGCGCAGGCGGACUCGUGCGUCGGGAGUGAAAGCCCGGGGCUCAACCCCGGAGUUUGCUUCCGAUACGGCGGGUCUAGGGACCGGCAGAGGCCGGUGGAAUUCCCGGUGUAGCGGUGGAAUGCGUAGAGAUCGGGAAGAACACCAGUGGCGAAGGCGGCCGGCUGGGCCGGUGAGCCCUCUUUCGGGAGGGUGUCCGACGCUCAUGCGCGAAAGCGUGGGGAGCAAACAGGAUU